UACGUAGGGGGCUAGCGUUGUCCGGAAUCAUUGGGCGUAAAGCGCGUGUAGGCGGUUCGGUAAGUCCGCUGUGAAAGUCGGGGGCUCAACCCUCGAAAGCCGGUGGAUACUGUCGGACUAGAGUGCGGAAGAGGUGAGUGGAAUUCCGAGUGUAGAGGUGAAACUCGUAGAUAUUCGGAGGAACACCAGUGGCGAAGGCGGCUCACUGGUCCAUUACUGACGCUGAGGCGCGACAGCGUGGGAGCAAACAGG
rnacentral:rRNA from 1 species